rnacentral:rRNA from 1 species
AACGCUGGCGGCAGGCUUAACACAUGCAAGUCGAACGGGCACUUCGGUGCUAGUGGCAGACGGGUGAGUAACGCGUGGGAACGUGCCUUUCGGUUCGGAAUAAUCCAGGGAAACUUGGACUAAUACCGGAUACGCCCUUCGGGGGAAAGAUUUAUCGCCGAAAGAUCGGCCCGCGUCUGAUUAGCUAGUUGGUGAGGUAAAGGCUCACCAAGGCGACGAUCAGUAGCUGGUCUGAGAGGAUGAUCAGCCACAUUGGGACUGAGACACGGCCCAAACUCCUACGGGAGGCAGCAGUGGGGAAUAUUGGACAAUGGGCGAAAGCCUGAUCCAGCCAUGCCGCGUGAGUGAUGAAGGCCUUAGGGUUGUAAAGCUCUUUUGUCCGGGAAGAUAAUGACUGUACCGGAAGAAUAAGCCCCGGCUAACUUCGUGCCAGCAGCCGCGGUAAUACGAAGGGGGCUAGCGUUGCUCGGAAUCACUGGGCGUAAAGGGCGCGUAGGCGGACUUUUAAGUCGGAGGUGAAAGCCCAGGGCUCAACCCUGGAAUUGCCUUCGAUACUGGGAGUCUUGAGUUCGGAAGAGGUUGGUGGAACUGCGAGUGNNNAGGNGAAAUUCGUAGAUAUUCGCAAGAACACCGGUGGCG